AUAUAUAUAUAUAUAUAUAUAUAUAUAUAUAUAUAUCUGUACUUUGUGUACUACAUUAGCCUAGCACUGGUGGUUAGGUGUGCUGUGAACUGUGGAUACUUCUCAAGCUCAGUUCGUUGUGAUCUGCAGUGAUCACUGUGAGUCUCUGUCCUGCUUCAAUAUCCUCCUCCCUGUGUCACUGAUGCCCAGCAAUAUGAGUCAUUUGUUCUUUGCCUUUUGAAAUCAUGCCAGGAACUGAAAGACCGCAGGUGACCCUGACCUCUAGGUAACCUGCCUGUGUCACGUGUAUAUGUGCAUGUGGGAUUGUGUGUCUUUGUGCUGUGUAGCAUUGUCCACUAUGUACUGUAACAUGUGUGUGACUUUUAAUAAGCAGAGUGCCUCUCUCUGUGUUUUAAUAUAAUAACAAUGUUAACAUGAUUAAUAAAUUAAUAAUGUGAAAUGUUAAA